ACACCUCAACUCUCAUGGUCUGCCAUGAUGAGCUUGGACUUUGGGGGUCUUGCCGGCCUACGGUUGGCUCCUCUCAAACGAAUCAGCUUGCCAGUGUUUGGUGGCAUCACAGGUGUGAUAACUAUCUACGCUUGUGGUUCACCGCCAGGUAACCUCCAGUGAUGGAGGUUCGCUGCGGCUCACAAAUGUCUCUCCUCAGCGAGGACAGCUUUCUGAA
rnacentral:misc_RNA from 1 species